rnacentral:rRNA from 1 species
UACGUAGGCAGCGAGCGUUGUUCGGAGUUACUGGGCGUAAAGGGUGUGUAGGCAGUUGUUUAAGUUUGGUGUGAAAUCUCCCGGCUCAACUGGGAGGGUGCGCCGAAUACUGAAUGACUUCGAGUGCGGGAGAGGUGAGUGGAAUUCCUGGUGUAGCGGUGAAAUGCGUAGAUAUCAGGAGGAACACCGGUGGUGUAGACGGCUCACUGGACCGUAACUGACGCUGAGACACGAAAGCGUGGGUAGCAAACAGG